AAGGGGUGAUACUGCAUAGGAUGUAGUAUCUGAGAUGUCAUUUGACGAACCCUUAGAACCUGAUCCGGCUUAUACCGGCGUAGGAAUGGGCCUAAUUU
rnacentral:ncRNA from 1 species